CUCCGCUUUGGCGGCCCAGGUUCACAGGUUCAUAUCCGGGGUGCAGACCCACUCUGCUCACCAGCCAUGCUGUGGCAGACAUUCCACAUGCAAAAGA